rnacentral:misc_RNA from 1 species
UUAAGAUGAAGUGUUUAAUCAUAUUUCUGUUACCCGUUGCCUUUGCUGCCUCAGUGGAACAGAAGAGGCUCGUGUUUGACACACUUCUGAACGGCCAAGAAGCUAAAAAUGUUAUCGAUCAACUGGUGGUAUUCUUAUCAUCUGACACCAGCGAGGCCAAAUGUGAAUCUGAAUGUCAUACCCUUAUUGCAAACCCCCAGUCUACAAUCCAACAUUUGUGUCCUUUUAUGUGCCACCUCGCUCAGCAGACACUUAGUGGACUUCAUCACACCAAACGACUUGUUUUUGACACUUUCCUCAAUGGGGAGGAGGGGAGACACCUUAUUGAUCAACUAGUGGAACAGCUCGGAACUGACGAUAACUAUGUAAAAUGCGAACAGGAAUGUCACGUGUUGAUUCGAAAUCAGCAGUCCGUGAUGCAGCAUCUCUGUCCCUUUAUGUGUCACUUGGCAAUCGACGCUAUCAAGAAUCUACAUAGCCCAUCAUCGAACCCUGCAGGAACUGGAGCAGUAGCAAAACGUCUGGUCUUAGGAAAUUUCAUAAACACUGAAGAAACAUCUAAGAUCAUUGACCAACUCGUGGCUACCCUCGGGGCUGACGAAUCUGAAAAGACCUGUGAGGCCCAUUGUCACACCUUAAUCUUAAGCUCUACAUCAGUCUUCCAGCACAUGUGUCCCUUCCUCUGUCACUCGGCCCAGGCUGUAAUCAACAGCUUUGGCCAUCACUCCACUACAACGCCACCAGCACCAGCAAAUCCAGCCAAAAGAGUCCUUCUCAACAGUAGGUGUUUUUUAUGAAAUCAUAUUUGUAUGCAAAAAAUAUAAAUCGUUUGUUUGACAAACAUUAAGUUAUAUUGAGUUUUUCUGUAAUUUGAUUUUAAAAUAUUUAGAUUUCGAUUACAAAAACUAUUAGUUUAAAAAAUAUCAUCCUUGUUUUUGUUUCUUUCUGUUGCAUUUAUUUAUCAAAUCACUUUCUUAAUUUUGCCAAUCUAAAAGAAAGGAAUAAGAAAUAUUCAAGGAACAUCAUUGUUAAAUUGUUUACAUUUUAAUCAAUAUGGAUAAUACAAUAUCAGUAAAUCUUUCGCAAUGCUAUCAGUCUGCACGGAACUGCUGGCUAUAGAUUAACAUCAUAUGUCAAUAACAAAUAACAUAUUGUAAAUUCAUUCCAUUACGUCGGAACUUAUUUACCCGAUCCCCCUGUUUCGUUUCAAAUAGAGAAAAUAUAAAAUCGCAAUCACGGAACAUUUAUUCAAAAUUUAUUAUAGUUCCCAACUCGUAGAAAAUAAUGGUGAUAUUUAAAAAUCUGCGAUGGGUGCAUCCUACGAUUUUACGCGGAUAUAAUUUCCACGCAUUUAGUUAGGAAUUUACAGUACUGAUUUAUUUACAGCUUUUGUUAAAAUGUCAAACAGUACAUCAAAUUACUACACGUGUAAGUCAAUACCUAGUAUGCGACAAUCCUGAACCUUUUAAAAGAUAUUGCUUAAUAUUUAUUGAAUAAUGAUACCACAAUACUUACGAAUGAUGGACAUUUUUUGUACUGACUAUGCAUGGAUGAAUUAAUCUUUAAGUAACUACAAUGCCAAUUUGUAUGAAGAAUUAUGAAAUGCAUUGAAAUGAUGGACGCUCUAUGUAUGACGUAUUAUAUACAAUAUUAUUAAUACUUGAUAUACUGUAAAAGGUACUACAUUUGGCUGUGUAUUUUUUUGGCGCUUUAGGUGGAAUGCUGCUUCCGCUUAAUCAAAUAAAUUUCUAAAUGCCAUACAUAAACAGAUAUGCAUAAUGAUAGUCACAUUCAGGAAUACGCUCAUUCAAGUGCACGACAACUUGUUCAAAAACAAAUUUCCGCAAAAUAUCGUACACGCCAAAUAAAGUACGUUAACAUGUGCUAUAACUGUUUUAUGAAUAUGUUUUGCAUUUCUGUGUUCUUCGUGAUAUUGAAGCUUUCUUGAACAACCAAGAAGUUACAAACAUUGUCGACCAGCUUGCAGUCAUGCUUACUUCUGGUACAGCGUAUGGCGCCUGUGAAAAGGAAUGCCAUGUUUUGAUCAGAGAUCAAACAUCUGUUGUCCAGCAUCUGUGCCCAUUCAUGUGUCACUCAGCUCAGGCACUUUUAGGAAAUUUACACCAUACAACAACAGUAGCUGUAUAAAAAAAUCGAAAUGCCCAUUCUGUGAAUGUAAUUGAAAAACAUCCAAAUAUGAGAUCUAUUGAAUCUACAAAUAAAAAAAAUCAU